GAAUUCCUCACAAAGAUUGGUGUCCUUAACACCCCUUCAUGGUACACUGCUGGAGAGUUGGAGUAUUUCACAGACACUACCACACUCUUCGUAGUUGAGCUCUUUUUCAUUGGGUGGGCUGAGGGCAGAAGAUGGGCUGACAUCAUCAAGCCAGGCUCUGUCAACACUGACCCCAUCUUUCCCAACAACAAGCUCACAGGAACCGAUGUUGGGUACCCAGGUGGGCUUUGGUUUGAUCCACUUGGCUGGGGAAGUGGUUCUCCAGAGAAGCUCAAGGAGUUGAGAACAAAGGAGAUCAAGAAUGGGAGGUUGGCCAUGUUGGCUGUGAUGGGUGCAUGGUUCCAGCACAUAUACACUGGCACUGGUCCUAUUGACAACCUCUUUGCUCACCUUGCAGAUCCAGGCCAUGCUACUAUUUUUGCUGUAAGUUCAUUUUACAACUGCUCUUGCCUAAUUUGACUAAUCUAUCAUGGAAAAAACUUGGAUACAUUUUUAUAGGUAUUUUAGGUAGUGAUUUUUAAUCUGUUGACAUUUAAUGGAAGUCUUCAAUACCUGCAUUGUGGAAAUGAAAUCCUGAUUGGAGAAUAGUACUAAAAACAU
rnacentral:lncRNA from 1 species